UGGGAGCUUGCUCCCUGAUGUUAGCGGCGGACGGGUGAGUAACACGUGGGUAACCUGCCUGUAAGACUGGGAUAACUCCGGGAAACCGGGGCUAAUACCGGAUGGUUGUUUGAACCGCAUGGUUCAAACAUAAAAGGUGGCUUCGGCUACCACUUACAGAUGGACCCGCGGCGCAUUAUCUAGUUGGUGAGGUAACGGCUCACCAAGGCAACGAUGCGUACCCCACCUGAGAGGGUGAUCGGCCACACUGGGACUGAGACACGGCCCACACUCCUACGGGAGGCAGCAGUAGGGAAUCUUCCGCAAUGGACGAAAGUCUGACGGAGCAACGCCGCGUGAGUGAUGAAGGUUUUCGGAUCGUAAAGCUCUGUUGUUAGGGAAAAACAAGUACCGUUCGAAUAGGGCGGUACCUUGACGGUACCUAACCAGAAAGCCACGGCUAACUACGUGCCAGCAGCCGCGGUAAUACGUAGGUGGCAAGCGUUGUCCGGAAUUAUUGGGCGUAAAGGGCUCGCAGGCGGUUUCUUAAGUCUGAUGUGAAAGCCCCCGGCUCACCCGGGGAGGGUCAUUGGAAACUGGGGAACUUGAGUGCAGAAGAGGAGAGUGGAAUUCCACGUGUAGCGGUGAAAUGCGUAGAGAUGUGGAGGAACACCAGUGGCGAAGGCGACUCUCUGGUCUGUAACUGACACUGAGGAGCGAAAGCGUGGGGAGCG
rnacentral:rRNA from 1 species